rnacentral:rRNA from 1 species
AUAGUUUGAUCAUGGCUCAGGACGAACGCUGGCGGCGUGCUUAACACAUGCAAGUCGAACGGUAAGGCCCUUUCGGGGGUACACGAGUGGCGAACGGGUGAGUAACACGUGGGUGAUCUGCCCUGCACUUUGGGAUAAGCCUGGGAAACUGGGUCUAAUACCGAAUAUUCCUUGCUGGUCGCAUGGCCUGGUGGGGGAAAGCUUUUGCGGUGUGGGAUGGGCCCGCGGCCUAUCAGCUUGUUGGUGGGGUGAUGGCCUACCAAGGCGACGACGGGUAGCCGGCCUGAGAGGGUGUCCGGCCACACUGGGACUGAGAUACGGCCCAGACUCCUACGGGAGGCAGCAGUGGGGAAUAUUGCACAAUGGGCGCAAGCCUGAUGCAGCGACGCCGCGUGAGGGAUGACGGCCUUCGGGUUGUAAACCUCUUUCAGUACAGACGAAGCGUGGAGUGACGGUAUGUACAGAAGAAGCACCGGCCAACUACUGCCAGCAGCCGCGGUA